AAACGGCUACCACAUCUUAGGAAGGCAGCAGGCGCGCAAAUUACCCAAUCCUAAUACAGGGAGGUAGUGACAAGAAAUAACAAUACAGGACUUUUUGGUUUUGUAAUUGGAAUGAGUUAAGUAUAAACCCCUUUACAAGUAUCAAUUGGAGGGCAAGUCUGGUGCCAGCAGCCGCGGUAAUUCCAGCUCCAAUAGCGUAUAUUAAAGUUGUUGCAGUUAAAAAGCUCGUAGUUGGAUUUCUGUUAAUAAUUUAUAUAAAAUAUUUUGAUGAAUAUUUAUAUAAUAUUAACAUAAUUCAUAUUACUAUAUAUUUUAGUAUAUGAAAUUUUACUUUGAGAAAAUUAGAGUGCUUAAAGCAGGCAUAUGCCUUGAAUACUCCAGCAUGGAAUAAUAUUAAAGAUUUUUAUCUUUCUUAUUGGUUCUAAGAUAAGAAUAAUGAUUAAUAGGGACAGUUGGGGGCAUUUGUAUUUAACAGUCAGAGGU
rnacentral:rRNA from 1 species